rnacentral:tRNA from 1 species
GGUGGUGUAGCUCAGUGGUGAGUAUUCGCCUACCAUGCAUGAGAACCUGGGUUCCAGUUCCAGCACCACAA